rnacentral:rRNA from 1 species
ACAGCAGUCGCCGCGGUAAUACGGAGGGUGCAAGCGUUAAUCGGAAUUACUGGGCGUAAAGCGUGCGCAGGCGGUUUGUUAAGACAGAUGUGAAAUCCCCGGGCUCAACCUGGGAACUGCAUUUGUGACUGGCAAGCUAGAGUCUGGCAGAGGGGGGUGGAAUUCCGCGUGUAGCAGUGAAAUGCGUAGAUAUGCGGAGGAACACCGAUGGCGAAGGCAGCCCCCUGGGCCAACACUGACGCUCAUGCACGAAAGCGUGGGGAGCAAACAGGAUUAGAUACCGCGUAGUCCCUGUCUCUUAUACA